rfam:Camelus ferus unplaced genomic scaffold scaffold701, whole genome shotgun sequence.
GAGGGUAACAGCUCAGUGGCAGAGCACAGGCUUAGCAUGCAUGAGGUCCUGGGUUCAAUCCCCACUACCUCCA